UACAGAGGCCUCGAGCGUUAAUCGGAGUCACUGGGCUUAAAGGGUGCGUAGGCGGGCUAUCAAGUCUGGGGUGAAAUCCCCCGGCUUAACCUGGGAACUGCGUCUGAUACUGGGAGGCUAGAGUGCGGGAGAGGGAUGCGGAAUUCCAGGUGUAGCGGUGAAAUGCGUAGAUAUCUGGAGGAACACCGGUGGCGAAGGCGGCAUCCUGGACCGACACUGACGCUGAGGCGCGAAAGCUAGGGGAGCAAACGGG
rnacentral:rRNA from 1 species